CCUACGGGAGGCAGCAGUCGGGAAUUUUGGGCAAUGGGCGAAAGCCUAACCCAGCAACGCCGCGUGAAGGAUGAAAUCCCUCGGGAUGUAAACUUCGCAAGAACGGGAAGAAUAAGUAGGGGACAAUACCCCCUAUGAUGACGGUACCGUUUGUAAGCUCCGGCUAACUCCGUGCCAGCAGCCGCGGUAAUACGGGGGGAGCAAGCGUUGUUCGGAUUUACUGGGCGUAAAGGGCGCGUAGGCGGCCAGCACAAGUCAGUUGUAAAAUCUCCGAGCUUAACUCGGAAAGGUCAACUGAUACUGUGCGGCUAGAGUGCAGAAGGGGCAACUGGAAUUCUUGGUGUAGCGGUGAAAUGCGUAGAUAUCAAGAGGAACACCUGCGGCGAAGGCGGGUUGCUGGGCUGACACUGACGCUGAGGCGCGAAAGCCAGGGGAGCGAACGGGAUUAGAUACCCCGGUAGUCCUGGCCUUAAACGAUGAAUGCUUGGUGUCUGGGGUUAUAAAGUCCCUGGGUGCCGUCGCUAACGCUUUAAGCAUUCCGCCUGGGGAGUACGGUCGCAAGACUGAAACUCAAAGGAAUUGACGG
rnacentral:rRNA from 1 species